GAUGAACGCUGGCGGCGUGCCUAAUACAUGCAAGUCGAGCGAACAGAUGGUGAGCUUGCUCCUCUGACGUUAGCGGCGGACGGGUGAGUAACACGUGGAUAACCUACCUAUAAGACUGGGAUAACUACGGGAAACCGGAGCUAAUACCGGAUAAUAUAUUGAACCGCAUGGUUCAAUAGUGAAAGACGGUUUUGCUGUCACUUAUAGAUGGAUCCGCGCCGCAUUAGCUAGUUGGUAAGGUAACGGCUUACCAAGGCAACGAUGCGUAGCCGACCUGAGAGGGUGAUCGGCCACACUGGAACUGAGACACGGUCCAGACUCCUACGGGAGGCAGCAGUAGGGAAUCUUCCGCAAUGGGCGAAAGCCUGACGGAGCAACGCCGCGUGAGUGAUGAAGGUCUUCGGAUCGUAAAACUCUGUUAUUAGGGAAGAACAAAUGUGUAAGUAACUAUGCACGUCUUGACGGUACCUAAUCAGAAAGCCACGGCUAACUACGUG
rnacentral:rRNA from 1 species